AUUGAACGCUGGCGGCAGGCCUAACACAUGCAAGUCGAGCGGAUGAAGGGAGCUUGCUCCUGGAUUCAGCGGCGGACGGGUGAGUAAUGCCUAGGAAUCUGCCUGGUAGUGGGGGAUAACGUCCGGAAACGGGCGCUAAUACCGCAUACGUCCUGAGGGAGAAAGUGGGGGAUCUUCGGACCUCACGCUAUCAGAUGAGCCUAGGUCGGAUUAGCUAGUUGGUGGGGUAAAGGCCUACCAAGGCGACGAUCCGUAACUGGUCUGAGAGGAUGAUCGGUCACACUGGAACUGAGACACGGUCCAGACUCCUACGGGAGGCAGCAGUGGGGAAUAUUGGACAAUGGGCGAAAGCCUGAUCCAGCCAUGCCGCGUGUGUGAAGAAGGCCUUCGGAUUGUAAAGCACUUUAAGUUGGGAGGAAGGGCAGUAAGUUAAUACCUUGCUGUUUUGACGUUACCAACAGAAUAAGCACCGGCUAACUUCGUG
rnacentral:rRNA from 1 species